GGUAAAGUGCUGGUUAGACCAGUAUCAUAUUACAGGUAAAGUGCUGGUUAGACCAGUAUCAUAUUACAGGUAAAGUGCUGGUUAGACCAGUAUCAUAUUACAGGUAAAGUGCUGGUAAGACCAGUAUCAUAUUACAGGUAAAGUGCUGGUUAGACCAGUAACAUAUUACAGGUAAAGUGCUGGUUAGACCAGUAACAUAUUACAGGUAAAGUGCUGGUUAGACCAGUAUCAUAUUACAGGUAAAGUGCUGGUUAGACCAGUAUCAUAUUACAGGUAAAGGCGUCCUCAUGCUUCCCAUCUGAAACAGUUCAUAUAUUGACAACAUUUUGUGACAUUUUUGUACGUCUUCUGCAAGUUUUUUGUUUGUUUUUUUCAGCUGUUUUGUGCACACAACAAGUCAAAGUUUGGUCGCCAAAUCUACGCCUCUUAGUCGGUGAUUGGUCAACAGUAGGGAUUCUUCAAUGAAGUGUUUGUUGUCAUUCAACAAGAGACGACUCGUUAUCGUGUACAUUCUUUCACUUGAGAAAUUAUGCACCAAAUAUCUUAGGGCGUCAUUGUAAAUAACAAUUUGUUCUUAAACUGACUUGUGCCUCGUUAAAUAAAGGUUAAACAAAAUAAUAAUAAUAAUAAGGAUAGUUACAGUUCAUAUGAGGAAAUCAGUCAAUUAAAAUAAAUUCAUCAGGCCCUAAUCUACCGAUUUCACAUGACUGGGAAUACAGAUAUGCAUCUGUUGGUCAAAGAUAGCUUCUUCUUUUUUUAAGUCUCACAAUGGGCCUCGGGAUGUCAACUUGGUAUCUGUGCAUUCAAAGCACUGAUGUGGAAGGUGUACGUGCCCAAAAAGCCAUCUCCCGGCAGUCAGCUGAGUCCCACAACACAUAACAACAUACUGUUGCCAAUAUGAAAGAGAAAGCAGCAGGUCGUUAAAAUUGCUGCGUUGGUCAAUUGCACCCAAGGUCCAACUGAAAUUUGGCUUCCACUUUUAACCCAACCCCUUCGAAAGACACGCAUACAUACAGGUAUUUUAUUUGUGCUGGCUUGCCUCUAACCGCUAGGCUAACUGCUGCCAAUGUUAGACCAUGGAGGUGGUGAAAUUGUUAGGUUAUUUCCUUGGUCCAGCUGUCUAUAUUACCUGAGGUCAGAGUUAUGGGGAG